GCGCCCGUAGCUCAGUUGGAUAGAGCAACGGCCUUCUAAGCCGUGGGCCGCAGGUUCGAAUCCUGCCGGGCGCGCCA
rnacentral:tRNA from 2 species